rnacentral:rRNA from 1 species
UACGUAGGGGCUAGCGUUGUCCGGAAUCAUUGGGCGUAAAGAGCGUGUAGGCGGUCCGGUAAGUCCGCUGUGAAAGUCGGGGGCUCAACCCUCGAAUGCCGGUGGAUACUGUCGGGCUAGAGUGCGGAAGAGGCGAGUGGAAUUCCUGGUGUAGCGGUGAAAUGCGCAGAUAUCAGGAGGAACACCUAUUGCGAAGGCAGCUCGCUGGGACGUAACUGACGCUGAGGAGCGAAAGCGUGGGUAGCAAACAGG